GACAGAGGUGCCGAGCGUUAGGCGGAAUCACUGGGCUUAAAGCGUGUGUAGGCGGGCGAUCAAGUACCUUGUGAAAUCCCACGGCUCAACCGUGGAACCACUGGGUAUACUGGUUGUCUUGAGCCGGCUAGGGGCGAGCGGAACAGACGGUGGAGCGGUGAAAUGCGUAGAUAUCGGGAGGAACACCUGUGGCGAAAGCGGCGCACUGGACCACAACUGACGCUGAGGCGCGAAAGCUAGGGGAGCAAACAGG
rnacentral:rRNA from 1 species